rnacentral:rRNA from 1 species
CCUACGGGUGGCAGCAGUGGGGAAUCUUGCGCAAUGGGGGAAACCCUGACGCAGCGACGCCGCGUGAGCGAUGAAGGCCUUAGGGUUGUAAAGCUCUGUGGAGAGGGACGAAUAAGUCGGCGCGAAUAGCUCCGAUGAUGACGGUACCUCUUUAGCAAGCACCGGCUAACUCUGUGCCAGCAGCCGCGGUAAGACAGAGGGUGCAAACGUUGUUCGGAAUUACUGGGCGUAAAGCGCGUGUAGGCUGUCUUGCAAGUCGGGUGUGAAAGCCCAGGGCUCAACCUUGGAAGUGCACUCGAAACUGCAGGACUGGAGUCUCGGAGAGGAUCGCGGAAUUCUGGGUGUAGAGGUGAAAUUCGUAGAUAUCCAGAGGAACACCAGUGGCGAAGGCGGCGAUCUGGACGAGUACUGACGCUGAGACGCGAAAGCGUGGGGAGCAAACAGGAUUAGAUACCCGAGUAGUCC